rnacentral:rRNA from 1 species
UACGUAGGGUGCGAGCGUUGUCCGGAAUUACUGGGCGUAAAGAGCGCGCAGGCGGUCGAUCAAGUCGCGUGUGAAAGCCCCCGGCUCAACUGGGGAGGGUCACGCGAUACUGAUCGACUCGAAGGCAGGAGAGGGUAGUGGAAUUCCCGGUGUAGUGGUGAAAUGCGUAGAUAUCGGGAGGAACACCAGUGGCGAAGGCGACUACCUGGCCUGUUUCUUGACGCUGAGGCGCGAAAGCUAGGGGAGCAAACGGG